GUCCCCGUCAUCUAGAGGCCUAGGAUGGCACCCUUUCAAGGUGCAUACACGGGUUCGAAUCCCGUCGGGGACA
rnacentral:tRNA from 1 species